GACAGAGGGUGCAGACGUUGUUCGGAAUUACUGGGCGUAAAGCGCGUGUAGGCGGCCCUGCAAGUCGGAUGUGAAAUCCCACGGCUCAACCGUGGAAGUGCAUUCGAAACUGCAGGGCUAGAGUCCUGGAGAGGAAGGUGGAAUGCUUGGUGUAGAGGUGAAAUUCGUAGAUAUCAAGCGGAACACCGGUGGCGAAGGCGGCCUUCUGGACAGUGACUGACGCUGAGACGCGAAAGCGUGGGGAGCAAACAGG
rnacentral:rRNA from 1 species